AUGCGUCUGCGCCCGGGGCAGCUGGCGGAACCGGCUCCCGGUGCUGCGGCUUCCGGUCUGGUGACCUCACCUGCGGCUCCGCGGCCGGUGUGCCUUCUGCCUGCCUUGUCUCUAAGUCCCAGUUCAAAGGUGUUCUGUGUCUGGACCAUUCUGACCAGGUCCAAGGAGAACUUGAGUUGUGUGUGUCUACAGGAGAGGCCAGAUGGAAUCCUGUAUUUGCUGACCACCAAGCAAGGGGCACCACGUGUCCUGUUCCCAGCUGAGCCAGGAAACUGCAUGACCCUGAAUGGCAGCAGUAAGUAUCUUCUGUCCUCUCAGAUCCUCCUCCUGUUCCACAUUCUUUUUUUUUUUUUUUUUUUUUUUUUCNUUCCACAUUCUUAA
rnacentral:lncRNA from 1 species